UAAUAUUUGAAAUUCAUUGGAAGGAAGCCAAAAAUCUCUUAAGCUUCAAUGACGGCGGUAGAUGCGGAAAGGAUGCAGGUAGAGAUAAGUGAUAUGUCAUGACUGCUAAGCAUUAAUCAGGUGAAGAUCUUAGACAUAUUAACGAUUUCAACUUCAAGUUUGACAAAAAUCUCAAUUGAAAUCGUCUUGAAGCUCACAGUAAUGAUCUUAAUUCUAGAGGUUUAGGUAAUUGAAAUGAGUAUUCUCGAAUCGAAUCAUUGGAAGGAUUUGAUGUCUCAAAUGGAAUAAACUGAGAACGACGUCUUCUCAAAUCAAAUAAUUGAAAGGAUAUGAGAUGUGGUUGCAAAAUUGGAGAAAGAUGAUGAUAUUCCUUUCCGUCGCAAUGAUCAAUCAACCAAAUUAUAUCCCGCCUAGCUUCUGCAGUGGGAGGGUUAAGUGUGCCAUACGAGAAGGUUUCAUAGAUACAUGAAAGGCCCAUGCUCAAUUGGCUCUGGGCAGCCUGUUGUCAUCCAUUUGGACCAUUUUCUAAUAAUUCCGAAGUCAGCCAAAUGCUUCAGGAUGUCGCUUUGGUGUAUAUGCUUGUACACCUUGCUCUUGCUCUUAGAGCUUCAAUGGAGGAAGAGAGGGGAAGACAGGAUGUUGCUUCCAGGGCUACAGAAGAAAAAGAAGGUGGACAGGGGUCAAGUUCACAUGAUACAACUGACUGAAAAUGCUGGCAUUAUGUCCUUGAGGGAAAAGGAGCUAAUACAGGCGAUUUGAUGGAUGAUCACACUGCAUUGUUAGAGUAAGCACUCGCAAUGAACGACCAUCAGUUUAUUCCCUCUGGUGGUAUAUCAUUGGAAGACACCGAUAUCUUUGGUGGUAUAUCAUUAGAAGACACCGAUAUCUCCGAGGAAACUAAAGAAGAUCAAGAGAUGGCACUUGGCAAGUUACUUGCAUUGCAAUGAUUUAUGUCACUCAUAAGCUCAAAAUGGUAGAGCGCCCAAGCCUAUCACAAGGUCUGCGGAGGUUGAUGGUUCAACUCCAUUCGAGUUUCAUAUUUUCAUAUGGAUAACGUUAUAGAGGGAUGAUUCAAGUUGUAUGUGGAAUGUGGUGUACAAACUGGUGCACCUGGUCUUGUCUUUGGAAUUUUCUGUAUUUUUGUAGAUGUGUAAA